GUUUUUUGUGAUUGUAAAAUCUAGGUAAUUUUCAGAGGACAAAUUGAAUGUUUUGAGGGUUAAGUCGGAGGUAAUCUGUAGGGGAGAGAAUGGACGUGUUGGAGUAAAAACAAGGUUAUCAGUAGUGGGCAGGAAGGAAGGGUUUUGGGGGUAAAACUUGAGGGGAGGGCAUGAACAUUUUGAGAUAAAAUUAAGGUAACCGGAGUGGACGGGAAGAAGAAAUUGUGGGGGUAAAAUCUGAGUUAAUCAGUAGGGGAGAGGAGUGACAUAUUGAGGUAAAACCAAAGCUGUUUGUCAGUAGUGGAUAGGAAGGGAAAUUGUGGGGCUAAAACUUAAGAUAAUCUCUAGGGGAGAGAAUGGAUGUAUUGAGGAAAAAACGAGGUAAUCACUAGUGACAGGGAAAAAUCUGGGGGAAAAACUUCAGGUCAUUUGUAAGGAAAAAGCAUUUUGCAGGAAAAAUCUGAUUGAAUCUUUAGGGCCAGAAUGGACAAUUUGGGGAUAAGGUAAAUGUAGCCAUUGGAUUUUCAUGCUGGUACAAUCUAGGUAGUUAUCAGGGACAAAAUUCAUAUUCUAGGUGUGAAAUCUGAGGUGAUCUGUAGGGGAGAGAAUGAAGAUUUUGAGGUAAACAGGUAAUCAGUAGUGGACACAUUUUUUGAGGGGUUGAGCUUGAAAUAAUCUGUGGGAGUCAGGUGCCUUUCAGGAGCCUCCCUGUGAAGAGCCAAGGCGCUGUCUCUGGGAGCGGUGGUGUGGAAAUACCCGUCUGGACUUUCCCUGCACCCAGGAAAGAGCCAAAAAGGAAAAGCUGGACGAGGGAGACAGCAGGGUGUAUCUCCAAGGGAUGAAUCUGAAAGAUCUCCUUCCUACGCACCUUGUGAGUGCUGAGCACGAACAGCAGAAGAGAAAUGGAGACUGUCCACUGCAUAUAUUGGCUGUUUUUUUCCCCUUGCGCACUCCUCUGGCUGCCUUUGACCAGACUGCUUUCCGCCUUCGAUUCUGACCCUAUUCUGUUGUCUCUGGAUUGGAGAAAAG
rnacentral:lncRNA from 1 species